rnacentral:rRNA from 1 species
GACGAACGCUGGCGGCGUGCUUAACACAUGCAAGUCGAACGGAAAGGCCCUGCUUUUGUGGGGUGCUCGAGUGGCGAACGGGUGAGUAACACGUGAGUAACCUGCCCUUGACUUUGGGAUAACUUCAGGAAACUGGGGCUAAUACCGGAUAGGAGCUCCUGCUGCAUGGUGGGGGUUGGAAAGUUUCGGCGGUUGGGGAUGGACUCGCGGCUUAUCAGCUUGUUGGUGGGGUAGUGGCUUACCAAGGCUUUGACGGGUAGCCGGCCUGAGAGGGUGACCGGCCACAUUGGGACGGGGAUACGGCCCAGACUCCUACGGGAGGCAGCAGUGGAGUAUGUUGCACAAUGGGCGGAAGCCUGAUGCAGCAACGCCGCGUGCGGGACGACGGCCUUCGGGUUGUAAACCGCUUUCGCCUGUGACGAAGCGUGAGUGACGGUAAUGGGUAAAGAAGCACCGGCUAACUACGUG